ensembl:lncRNA
UGUGAAUCUGAUAGGAACAGGGAUGGAACGGGAACAGAAAUAAACCAGCUGGCGUGCAACAAAGUGGUUUCCCACCGUCAUUCUCCACACACAGCGCAGAGGAGAGAGAGUUAGCCCAGACCCGCUACAUUUAGACUAAACAGACAGGAGACAAAUGGAGAAACAAGUUGAGCAGCAGUUCUCUCUGAGGAGCUGCAUCCUGACUGACGGGCUGCACAUAUCCAUCAAAGCCAGGACUGAAAGAGGGGAUUGUUUUUAGCAGCUGCAGAGUUAAAGCAGAGCUGCUGGAAGCUGGAAGUCCGUGGUGUUAUACAGCAGAGUGGAGAGCUGGAAACAUGCUGACUUCCACCUGCUUGUAGUUACCUGACUCUUCCGGUCCCCUUGUCGUUUGUCUGCUCUUCCGUUCCUCUGUGAAUUCUGCUUAGGGAUUCACUCCGUUGUCAGCCUCCAAAAGAAGAACACCUGUAGUACCACCUGGAAUGUGCCAAAACCACCCUGGGCUCCAAACCACCAGCCUACCUCCAGACGCCAUACUCACUACCUCUGCAUCUGUGCAUCGGGAACGAGAGGUUUUCCCCUGAAGGAAUGAAAGGAGUCUUACCAAAGUGGACAUUCCCCCCUCCCUAAAGUCAGUAAGGUUUUCCAGACCUAGCAACACCAGACUAAGUUUAGCUUUAGACCGCUUAUGCAAGUUACUAUCUUGUCAGCUUUUACACAUGGGUUUAUAGGUUACAGUUUCUGGGUUUUUGUGCAGUUUACUGGUAGAACUGGGAUUCGUUAGUUUUGUAUUUUUCCCCGUUUCUUUGUUUUCCUGCCUUGGUGUUACCAACAGUGGGUUAACCGUAGUUUUUGUUUUGUAGUUUUUCCUCCUAGCCACUAGAGGUUCUACGUUCAGUUCUGCCUUAUGGGGAUCAGUUAUUCUUCCUGUUCCAGUAGUUAGUUUCCGGUUCCGGUUGCAGUCCUUGUGUAACUAAAAAGUGUUUCUAAACUGAACAUCUGCCUGUUCUCAUUUCCUGCUCUUGAGCCUCAUGCACCCGCCAUAACAAUGUCUUGAAAAUAUUUUUAUCUUGUAUGCUGUUUGUCUAGUUUCUCUUGGCUCCCCUUCUCUUUCUCCUUUACCCUCACCCCAGCUGAUCGAGGCAGAUGGCAGCCCUUCCUGAGCCUGGUUCUGCCAGAAGCUUUUUCCUAUUAAAGAUGAUUUUUGGUUUUUAUUAGCUGCACUGUCUCCAAAGUGCAUGCUCAAAGGGAAUUACUGGAUUUGUUGGGGUUCUCUCUAUAAUGUAAUACUUAACCUUUGUGUCGUCCUGCGGGUCAAAAUUGACCCAUUUUAAAGUUUGAACAUGUGUGUGUGGGGGGGAAAUUCAGUGAAACUUCUGAUGUCCACAUUUUUGGGAAAUCUUUAAAAAAUUUUUUGGUGGGAAAUGAAAAUGUUCUAAAAGGAAACUAUUAGUUUUACUGAUAUAUGUGUGUAAUGACUUCAGACUUUUAGAAUUUUUUUGGGGGGAAGAUUUUUACUCUUUUUGAAAAGAUUUACAAGAAUUUUCUGGACAAAUUUGGGGGCUUCUUUUUUUUUUUUUUUAAAAGUUAAGAGAAACUUUUAAGGAAUUAUUGGAAUUUUCUUCCUGAAGUUUGGGAAUUUUUUUGCUGAAUUUUUUUCAGACAAGGAAAUAUUUUUUGGUGCCCGUAAAUGAGGACAACAGGAGGGUUAAAGGUCUUAAUUCACUACUGUUUGAAGUGCCCUGAGAUAACUUAUAUUGUUAAUUAGCGCCGCAAAAAUAAUACUGAGCUGAACUGAAAUUGACAGAAAUCUGAGAGUAGUUAAAUGAUAAAACGUGUACCAGGAGACAGCCCAAAGGUAAAUAAAACAGCCUUAAAUGCCCAAACUGUGAUGAGGGGCUGUAUAUAGACCACAGUGAGCUACACUUUCAGGAGUCAGAGGCCACUGACCUUAUUUAACCCUGAUUGGAAAUCUAUUGUGUCUGUCAGCUGCCAGUGUCUUCAGGUUCAUCAAGUCAAUAGAACAAACCUACUGGACCAGUUUUCUUUCUUCUUUUUUUCAGCACCAGACAAUCAAUUACGACAACUGAAGCACCACCGUGUUCCUCUUCAUCACUUACAUGUGGCCUCAGUUCUCGCCUUUGUUGUUCUCUCCUCGCCCAAGAGGGCCCUGAAGGGUGUGAUUUCACUCUCUGAUCAAAAGAACCAGUCGCAUAUAGACACAAAGGUCUGCUGACUGCUGGGAACUGUUCUGACAGCUCACGGAGAAGAGCGUCACGGUGGUCCUACGGGGCAGAUAUAGACAGAGCUCAUGCGGAUUCAUCAGCAUGCAUGAAAUUAGGAGAAAUAUUCACUUACUGUAUAUAUUAUCCUUCAAGAUAGACAGACUGUGCACAACUUUGAUGUCGCCGCUGUAUGAGACAGCAAUUCUGACGUGAACUAUGAAGCACUGACGUCCUUCAGUUGAAUUUCUAUGUGGGUCAGUUUAACCUAAAUCACAACAAAGGCUUUUUUUCUUUUUUUAAACUUGCUUUUGAGCAUGGCUGGCUACGCAUAUUCUUUUGUCUUUAGGAUGUUUCACAGGGAAAACAGCAGCAAUGUACACAGUGCACAGGGAGGUCUGUAAAUUAUUCAGAGCGGAGGUAAUCAAACUGUGAGGUGGAGGGAAGGCGUGCAGGGGACAGGUGUACUGUGGUAACUGGUAGCAACAGGGUGCUAUUCCUAAUGAUGGAAAGUAACUAAAUACAUGUACUCAAGUACUGUACUCAAGUAACAUUUUACACAUUUAUCUAACAGAUUUAGUUGCUUUACACAUUAAUUUAUUCAUAAAAUAUAUGAAAAUCUUGUAAAAUAGGAUUCUUUGCUAUGGAUUAAACUACCAGACCAUGAAUAUAAAUAGAGCUGGAAGACAAUUAAUGGUUUAUUUGAGUGAUAAGAUAUUUAUCGUCAGCUUUUGGGAUAAUUUUAUACAAAAACGCCGAAAACAUUUCAUGGCUGAUUUCCCCU